AACGAACGCUGGCGGCAUGCCUAACACAUGCAAGUCGAACGAGACCUUCGGGUCUAGUGGCGCACGGGUGCGUAACGCGUGGGAACCUGCCCUUAGGUUCGGAAUAACUCCCCGAAAGGGGUGCUAAUACCGGAUAAUGUCUUCGGACCAAAGAUUUAUCGCCUUUGGAUGGGCCCGCGUUGGAUUAGCUAGUUGGUAGGGUAAAAGCCUACCAAGGCGACGAUCCAUAGCUGGUCUGAGAGGAUGAUCAGCCACACUGGGACUGAGACACGGCCCAGACCAGGGGGGGAGGAGGAGGGGGGGAGUAUUGAAAAAGGGGCGAAAUCCGAACACAGCAUGGCCGCGGGAGGGAAGAAGGCUUGGGGGUUGAAAGGCUUUUUGCCCGGGGAGAAGAAAGACAUGCGGGGGAAAAAAAGCGCGGACAAGCCCGGGG
rnacentral:rRNA from 1 species